CUGGAGGUAUCAGAAGUGCGAAUGCUGACAUAAGUAACGAUAAAGCGGGUGAAAAGCCCGCUCGCCGGAAGACCAAGGGUUCCUGUCCAACGUUAAUCGGGGCAGGGUGAGUCGACCCCUAAGGCGAGGCCGAAAGGCGUAGUCGAUGGGAAACAGGUUAAUAUUCCUGUACUUGGUGUUACUGCGAAGGGGGGACGGAGAAGGCUAUGUUGGCCGGGCGACGGUUGUCCCGGUUUAAGCGUGUAGGCUGGUUUUCCAGGCAAAUCCGGAAAAUCAAGGCUGAGGCGUGAUGACGAGGCACUACGGUGCUGAAGCAACAAAUGCCCUGCUUCCAGGAAAAGCCUCUAAGCAUCAGGUAACAUCAAAUCGUACCCCAAACCGACACAGGUGGUCAGGUAGAGAAUACCAAGGCGCUUGAGAGAACUCGGGUGAAGGAACUAGGCAAAAUGGUGCCGUAACUUCGGGAGAAGGCACGCUGAUAUGUAGGUGAGGUCCCUCGCGGAUGGAGCUGAAAUCAGUCGAAGAUACCAGCUGGCUGCAACUGUUUAUUAAAAACACAGCACUGUGCAAACACGAAAGUGGACGUAUACGGUGUGACGCCUGCCCGGUGCCGGAA
rnacentral:rRNA from 1 species